rnacentral:piRNA from 1 species
UCUGUGUUCAUCUGUGUCCAUCUGUCAC